GAUGAACGCUAGCUACAGGCUUAACACAUGCAAGUCGAGGGACCGGCGCACGGGUGAGUAACACGUAUCCAACCUGCCCUUUACUCGGGGAUAGCAUUACGAAAGACAGAUUAAUACCCGAUAUAAAGGAUGGGGAUGCGUUCCAUUAGGUUGUUGGUGAGGUAACGGCUCACAAAGCCUUCGAUGGAUAGGGGUUCUGAGAGGCAGGUCCCCCACGUUGGAACUGAGACACUGUCCAAAAUCCUACUGGAGGCAGCAGUGAGGAAUAUUGGUCAAUGGGCGCUAGCCUGAACCAGCCAAGUAGCGUGAAGUAUGAAGGCUUAUGGGUCGUAAACUUCUUUUAUAUAAGAAUAUGUAUUAUAUGAAUAAGGAUCGGCUAACUCCGUGCCAGCAGCCGCGGUAAUUC
rnacentral:rRNA from 1 species